rnacentral:lncRNA from 10 species
AUGCAAAGGUAAGGCCGAAUUUAGUAAGAUUAUAAAUCUCUAUACAGAUAUGGCAAUGUUUUAAUUUCAUGAAAAGAACAAAUUCUCAUGAUUAGGAAUGCAAAUCUUUGCCAAAGACAGCUGAAAAGAAUUGUGUUUAAUAGCAAAAUAGCUUCUAUUUAUUGAAUGUUUACUCUAUUCCUGAUUAAACAUGCCACAUGAAGCAUCUUUUGAUAUUCACAGCAUCAUGAAGACUACAAUCUUUUUUUUUUUUGGCAAAUGAAAUGGCAGAUUCUGAUGGAUUAAGAAUUUUGUUCUAGGCAACACAGCCGUAAGUGACAGGUCUCCCUGAUGCUGAAUCAUGCCCUUUCCACCAUAGUCUGCAUUAUCUUCAGCAUGGAUUCAGCACAGGUGUGAGUAAUCUUCAUGCAGGUCAACUUCAAGACAACUGGGUGUCAAGAGCAAGGAAGAAGACGGCCUAUGAAGUGAAUUUAACAUACAAUGAUUAAAGGAAGUGCUACACUCUGCUGCCUCCUGCAAGUAGCACGUUGAAGACAGCUAAAGUCGUUCAAAAACCUGGAAAGAAUUACUAAGAUCCAUAAGAGUUGACAAGAACGUGGAAGACUCCCAUAACCACCUAACCGCAUCCUGUGCGAGCCGCAUAAGAUGGUUUCUGGAGCUACUGUACAAACAGGUACAGGCUUCAGGAAUACGAGCCUAGGUAGAGCAGCUACAAGCAAGCCUCUUACCUUAGGUUGCUGGAAGAAGAGAUGUUGCUGACCCAGUCCCAGCCUCUGCAUCUAGUCAGGGGAAAGGACUGUCACUUUGAGAGGCCAGCAGCUCAGACACAGGGACUGGGGAUAACUCCUGCCACCACCCCAAUCCUGGGAUGAGCAUUGUGCACACGUGUAACUGUGGGGAUAGGGUCAGGUGGCAACUUGGAAUACACACUUGGCAUUAACCAAGUAUUAUAUUUACUAGGUUGUAUAAAAGGAUCUAAGACAGGAACUGUUAUCUACAUUGUAUUCAUCUCUUUGGGGGACGCAAACUUUGUACAUAGCUUCCUUUGGCCUCUCACCCACACAGGGCAGGUACAAUGUCCACUCACAGGAGUUAAAUGCAUGUGAGUCACUUAGAGCUCAAUGUACAGCUCUAUGUACCCAGAAACAGUUUUGUACCUGUUAGGGCUCACUAAUCUGUUAUACUGUAGCCUGUCAAUGCAUCACUCCCCACUCCAGUUAAGGAAGAGUGCCACACAUUAGGGGCUGUUCAGGAGUUUGACAACAUUCUCCCCAUUUAUCUUAACUCUAGAGCUUGGCAAAAACCAGCCAUAGAAGCUGUGAGAAGACAGACUUCAAGUCAUUUUUAUAGGCAGACCUGGAUCAACACAGCUUGAGAAGUAGGAACUUAUCAAAGCUCUUAUGUGGAAGAAACUUAGAUGACCACCUGCACUGACCUGUCCUGGAUGAAAGGAUGUCACUUUCCUUGUCUCUUCUCUCACAUAAAGUCUAAUUGACCUGGUAUAUUUCAUUUCAAAGGAUACCAAGUACUGUGCUUCCCACCUCAUAUGCCCAAUAGAACUGUUCGUGCUCAUUUUGCCCUAGUCAAGUGUCAUUCAUCCAUCCUUUUCUGAACACUUCCAAGUUAUCUUCAGUCCCCUCGUCUUGGUCCCAAUGCACUCAUGAGGGAUCAUCUGCCUUCUGACUUUAUUCUUCCUGUUACAAAGGAGCACAUCUGAGUAGAGGAGAGCACCAACCCCAGGGAGCCCCAAGCCUGCAAACCUGUGUGAACCCUGAAUGGGAAGUGCAAGACUCAACAACCCUUCACUGCUAGUUUUGCCACUAUGGAUAUAUUGUAGACAAACAUCCAAUUUUUCUGGAUAAAUUUUACAUUGUCUUAAAUGUACUAGAGAGAUCUUUGGUUUGACAUUUUCACAAGUACUUUCUCAGUUUUGUUUACAUAGAAGAUUUGUCAAAAUCCUUCCUCCUCUGUAGCCGAGUCAACGACACAGUCUCCUUUCAGAACAUUUGUUCCUCUUUUGAGUGUCCUAGUUCUUGUUAGAAACCAGAUUCUAUGGAUGCACGUUGGCAGCCUGCAGUUAUGUGAACCUGAACACUGAAACAUGGUUGAAGCACUUUCAUGUCUAUAGAGAUGGCUCCUUUCAAACCCACAGACCUGUUUCUGCCUUGUCUUCCCUGAUCUGUGUGCCCAGCACCAAAAUCCCAAGAAACAAACCUGAGGUGGUUUGGUCUGGAUAGGCCUGGAUGUUCUUCCUGGCCCACUUGGGUGCUACAAUUAGCCACAAACUCUCUACGAAAGAAGAAACGCCUGGAUUUGGUCAGUAUAUACAAUCGCUUUUGAAAAGGAAACUGGCUUCAUCCAUGUCUCUGCAUUCUCAGCAAACUAACACAAGAACAGAAAACCAAACACCGCAUGUUCUCACUCAUAAGUGGGAGUUGAGAAAUGAGAACACAUGGACACAGGGAGGGGAACAUCACACACCGCGGCCUGUCGGGGCAUGGG